rnacentral:rRNA from 1 species
ACCCAGACUCCUACGGGAGGCAGCAGUAGGGAAUCUUUCACAAUGGGCGAAAGCCUGAUGGAGCAACGCCGCGUGCAGGAUGGAGGCCUUCGGGUUGUAAACUGCUUUUAUAAGCGAGAAAUAUGAUGGUAACUUAUGAAUAAGGAUCGGCUAACUACGUGCCAGCAGCCGCGGUCAUACGUAGGAUCCGAGCAUUAUCCGGAGUGACUGGGUGUAAAGAGUUGCGUAGGCGGGAUAGCAAGUCAGAUGUGAAAUCCUAUGGCUUAACCAUAGAACUGCAUUUGAAACUGUUAUUCUAGAGUAUGGGAGAGGUAGGUGGAAUUCUUGGUGUAGGGGUAAAAUCCGUAGAGAUCAAGAGGAAUACUCAUUGCGAAGGCGACCUGCUAGAACAUAACUGACGCUGAUGCGCGAAAGCGUGGGGAGCAAACAGGAUUAGAUACCCUUGUA